rnacentral:rRNA from 1 species
AGAGUUUGAUCAUGGCUCAGAAUCAACGCUGGCGGCGUGCCUAACACAUGCAAGUCGAACGCGAAAGUCCCGCAAGGGAUUAGUAGAGUGGCAAACGGGUGAGUAACACGUGGGUGACCUGCCUUCGAGUGGGGGAUAACGUCCCGAAAGGGACGCUAAUACCGCAUGACAUCCUGCCUUUGAAGAGGUGGAGCUUAAAGCUGGGGAUCGCAAGACCUAGCGCUUGAAGAGGGGCCCGCGUCUGAUUAGCUAGUUGGUGAGGUAACGGCUCACCAAGGCAACGAUCAGUAUCCGGCCUGAGAGGGCGGACGGACACACUGGGACUGAGACACGGCCCAGACUCCUACGGGAGGCAGCAGUGGGGAAUUGUUCGCAAUGGGCGCAAGCCUGACGACGCAACGCCGCGUGGAGGAUGAAGAUCUUCGGGUCGUAAACUCCUUUCGAUCGAGACGAACGGCCCCUGGGCUAAUCACCAGGGGAGUGACGGUACCGAGAGAAGAAGCCCCGGCUAACUCCGUGCCAGCAGCCGCGGUAAUACGGGGGGGGCAAGCGUUGUUCGGAAUUACUGGGCGUAAAGGGCUCGUAGGUGGCCAACUAAGUCAUACGUGAAAUCCCUCGGCUUAACCGGGGAACUGCGUCUGAUACUGGAUGGCUUGAGGUUGGGAGAGGGAUGCGGAAUUCCAGGUGUAGCGGUGAAAUGCGUAGAUAUCUGGAGGAACACCGGUGGCGAAGGCGGCAUCCUGGACCAAUUCUGACACUGAGGAGCAAAAGCCAGGGGAGCAAACGGGAUUAGAUACCCUAGUAGUCC